rnacentral:rRNA from 1 species
CAAUAACGUAUAUUAAAGUUGUUGCAGUUAAAAAGCUCGUAGUUGGAUUUGUGGCGUACGGUGUGUUCCGGGCACUUGUUGUCUGAGUAACCUGCUGUUGCCAUCCUUGGGUGGAACCUGUGUGGCAUUAGGUUGUCGUGCAGGGGAUGCCCAUCAUUUACUGUGAAAAAAUUAGAGUGUUCAAAGCAGGCUUAUGCCGUUGAAUAUAUUAGCAUGGAAUAAUGAGAUAGGACUUUUUUGCUAUUUUGUUGGUUUGCGCAAAGAGGUAAUGAUUAAUAGGGACAGUUGGGGGUAUUCGUAUUCCAUUGUCAGAGGUGAAAUUCUUGGAUUUUUGGAAGACGAACUACUGCGAAAGCAUUUACCAAGGAUGUUUUCAUUAA